rnacentral:rRNA from 1 species
UACGAGGGGGGCGAGCGUUGUUCGGAAUUACUGGGCGUAAAGAGUGUGUAGGUGGUGUCGUAAGUUUGGUGUGAAAUCUCCCGGCUUAACUGGGAGGGUGCGCCGAAGACUGCGAUGCUGGAGUAUGGGAGAGGAAAGCGGAAUUCCUGGUGUAGCGGUGAAAUGCGUAGAUAUCAGGAGGAACACCUGCGGUGUAGACGGCUUUCUGGACCAUUACUGACACUGAGACACGAAAGCGUGGGUAGCAAACAGG